GUAGUCAUAUGCUUGUCUCAAAGAUUAAGCCAUGCAUGUCUAAGUAUAAGCAAUCUAUACCGUGAAACUGCGAAUGGCUCAUUAAAUCAGUUAUCGUUUAUUUGAUAGUACCUUACUACUUGGAUAACCGUGGUAAUUCUAGAGCUAAUACAUGCUAAAAGCCCCGACUUCGGAAGGGGCGUAUUUAUUAGAUAAAAACCAAUGCCCUUCGGGGCUCCUUGGUGAUUCAUAAUAACUUAACGAAUCGCAUGGCCUUGUGCCGGCGAUGGUUCAUUCAAAUUUCUGCCCUAUCAACUUUCGAUGGUAGGAUAGUGGCCCACCAUGGUUUCAACGGGUAACGGGGAAUUAGGGUUCUAUUCCGGAGAGGGAGCCUGAGACACGGCUACCACAUCCAAGGAAGGCAGCAGGCGCGCAAAUUACCCAAUCCCGACACGGGGAGGUAGUGACAAUAAAUACUGAUACAGGGCUCUUUUGGGUCUUGUAAUUGGAAUGAGUACAAUUUAAAUCCCUUAACGAGGAACAAUUGGGGGGGCAAGUCUGGUGCAGCAGCC
rnacentral:rRNA from 1 species